rnacentral:rRNA from 1 species
CCUACGGGCGGUUGCAGUGGGGAAUAUUGGACAAUGGGGGCAACCCUGAUCCAGCCAUGCCGCGUGUGUGAAGAAGGCCCUCGGGUUGUAAAGCACUUUCAGUGAGGAAGAACGCCUGGUGGUUAAUACCCAUCAGGAAAGACAUCACUCACAGAAGAAGCACCGGCUAACUCCGUGCCAGCAGCCGCGGUAAUACGGAGGGUGCGAGCGUUAAUCGGAAUUACUGGGCGUAAAGCGCGCGUAGGUGGCUUGAUAAGCCGGUUGUGAAAGCCCCGGGCUCAACCUGGGAACGGCAUCCGGAACUGUCAAGCUAGAGUGCAGGAGAGGAAGGUAGAAUUCCCGGUGUAGCGGUGAAAUGCGUAGAGAUCGGGAGGAAUACCAGUGGCGAAGGCGGCCUUCUGGACUGACACUGACACUGAGGUGCGAAAGCGUGGGUAGCAAACAGGAUUAGAUACCCUAGUAGUC